rnacentral:rRNA from 1 species
CUGACUGCUAUCGGAUUGGUACUAAGCCAUGUGAGUCGUUGUAGCAAUACAAGGCAUACGGCUCAGUAACACGUAGUCAAUCUAACCUAUGGACGGGGAUAACCUCGGGAAACUGAGGAUAAUACCUGAUAGAUCAUAAUGCCUGGAACGGUUUAUGGUCCAAAUGAUUUUUCGCCAUAGGAUGGGACUGCGGCCUAUCAGCCUGUUGGUGAGGUAAUGGCCCACCAAGGCUAUUACAGGUACGGGCUCUGAGAGGAGAAGCCCGGAGAUGGGUACUGAGACACGGACCCAGGUCCUAUGGGGCGCAGCAGGCGAGAAAACUUUGCAAUGUGCGAAAGCACGACAAGGUUAAUCCGAGUGUUUCCUGCUAAAGGAAUCUUUUGUUAGUCGUAAAACCACUAUCGAAUAAGGGGUGGGCAAGUUCUGGUGUCGGCCGCCGCGGUAAAACCAGCACCUCAAGUGGUCAGGAGGUUUAUUGGGCCUAAAGCAUCCGUAGCCUGAUCUAUAAGUUUCCGGUUAAAUCCAAAUGCUCAACAUUUGGGCUGCCGGAAAAACUGUAGAUCUAGGGAGUGGGAGAGGUAGACGGUACUCGGUAGGAAGGGGUAAAAUCCUUUGAUCUAUUGAUGACCACCAGUGGCGAAGGCGGUCUACCAGAACACGUUCGACGGUGAGGGAUGAAAGCUGGGGGAGCAAACCGGAUUAGAUACCCGGGUAGUCCCAGCUGUAAACGAUGCAGACUCGGUGAUGCAUUGGCUUGUGGCCAGUGCAGUGCCGCAGGGAAGCCGUUAAGUUUGCCGCCUGGGAAGUACGUACGCAAGUAUGAAACUUAAAGGAAUUGGCGGGGGAGCACCACAAGG